CCUGCCAACCCAUAAGAGGUCCAGCCUGCCCAGUGACUCUGUUCAACGGCCGCGGUAUCCUAACCGUGCGAAGGUAGCGUAAUCACUUGUUCUUUAAAUGAGGACUAGUAUGAACGGCACUACGAGGGUUAUACUGUCUCCUUUUCCAAAUCAGUGAAACUAAUCUCCCCAUGAAGAAGCGGGGAUAAACCUAUAAGACGAGAAGACCCUAUGGAGCUUCAAACUUCCCAGCAAUUAUUUUUUACUAAUACAAUCUCAAGAUAAUAAAAUAAACCCUUAUAAUAUGACUGCAAGUUUUCGGUUGGGGUGACCACGGAGUAAAAUAUAUCCUCCACAAUGAAUUAAAGCCUUAGCUUUAAACAAAGAAACACAAUUCUAUGCAUCAAAAAAUUGACACAUUGACCCAAUAUUUUGACCAAUGAAC
rnacentral:rRNA from 1 species